CACGUAGUUAGCCGGGGCUUCUUAGUCAGGUACCGUCAUUUUUUUCUUCCCUGCUGAUAGAGCUUUACAUACCGAAAUACUUCUUCACUCACGCGGCGUCGCUGGAUCAGGGUUUCCCCCAUUGUCCAAUAUUCCCCACUGCUGCCUCCCGUAGGAAUUUGGGCCGUGUCUCAGUCCCAAUGUGGCCGUCCACCCUCUCAGGCCGGCUACUGAUCGUCGCCUUGGUGGGCCGUUACCUCACCAACCAGCUAAUCAGACGCGGGUCCAUCAUAUACCACCGUAGUUUUUCACACUGUCUCAUGCAAUACUGUGCGCUUAUGCGGUAUUAGCACCUAUUUCUAAGUGUUAUCCCCCUGUAUAUGGCAGGUUACCCACGCGUUACUCACCCGUCCGCCACUAAGUCAUCAACAUUUCCACUCUUAGCAAGCUAAUUGCUUCAAAAAUGAUGACUCGUCGACUUGCAUGUGUUAGCACGCCGCCAGCGUUCACUCC
rnacentral:rRNA from 1 species